rnacentral:RNase_MRP_RNA from 1 species
GCGUGACGGCAAGAGGAGUACUCGCAGCCACCCACCGGUCCCUCGUGACCGUCAGUCUGUGAGCGAAAGUCCCUGGACCCGAGGCCGAAACGGCUCACUCCUCAGGGGGGAACCGCAAGGGAAUAGUCCCAGCAAAGUAACGCUCCCCAUUGAACAGCAUAGGGCUUACUCUGUCUGUCUCG